AGAAACGUACCGGAUAUUUAUCAUGGACUAAAAGAAACAGGAAACUCUGGCCCUCUGGCGAAGAUGAUAUCUUUAACAAACAUUUGAUUUUACCGACCGAACGAAUAUGUUUAAACUAUAGAUGUCGCUAAAUGUUUAUUUCUCGUAACAGUCCUAAGGAACUAUUUUGCGCAAUUGGCGGAUUAAGUGUUAUCUCUUUCUUCAAGUAUUACAAGAUUUUCAGAUUAGUUUCUUUUUAAUAUUAUACAUUUCGAUGUUAUUGAAAAUUAUCUACAAUGCAUAUAACAAUCUACCUACAUAGAAAGAUUGUGUCAGGAGAUGAACCAGAGCGAUGGAUUAUUUAUCGGGACAUCUCUCGUUCCGUUCUUCUCAUUCCAUUCUUCUUCUCCUCAUCCCUUAUUUCUCAAAGCUCCGUGCGUCAUCCGGCGUCUCCCCGGGGAUGCAGGAAACAAUGUCAUCUAUCUUCCAGCGUGAUCCACGUCCGGUGCAUCAUGCUGGAAUUACCGGUACUAAUACACACUAUGCUAUCGUAUAGCCAAGACCAUACAAGGAUCUAAGUUUAACAUUUACAUCCCCGAUAGGAGAUCCUUACCUAACUAAAAUUAUAACAGGAAAUCGAUCACUUUUCGUUUUCUUUCAUCUUCUAUAACUUUUUAUU